UUUCUUCUCCCCUACUUUCCUCUCCCCCUUUCCUCUCCCCUACUUUCCUCUCCCCCUUUCCUCUCCCCUACUUUCCUCUCCCCUACCCCCUUAUAGCUCUUCUGUCUCUCUCUCUGCGGCACGUUGGUGUGGUAGGUAGAUUAUGUCUCCUCUCUCUGCGGCACUGUGGUGUGGUAGGUAGAUUAUGUCUCUCUCUGCAGCACUGUGGUGUGGUAGGUAGAUUAUGUCUCUCUCUGCAGCACUGUGGUGUGGUAGGUAGAUUAUGUCUCUCUCUGCGACACUGUGGUGUGGUGGGUAGAGGUAGAUUAUGUCUCUCUGCGGCACUGUGGUGUGGUAGGUAGAUUAUGUCUCUCUCUGCGGCACUGUGGUGUGGUAGGUAGAUUAUGUCUCCUCUCUCUGCGGCACGGUGGUGUGGUAGGUAGAUUAUGUGUCCUCUCUCUGCGGCACGGUGAGGUGGUAGGUAGAGUACAUCUCCUCUCUCUGCGACACUGUGAGGUGGUAGGUAGAGUACAUCUCCUCUCUCUGCGACACUGUGAGGUGGUAGGUAGAGUACAUCUCCUCUCUCUGCAACACUGUGGUGUGGUAGGUAGAUUAUGUCUCUCUCUGCAGCACUGUGGUGUGGUAGGUAGAGUACAUCUCCUCUCUCUGCAGCACUGUGGUGUGGUAGGUAGAGUACAUCUCCUCUCUCUGCAACACUGUGGUGUGGUAGGUAGAUUAUGUCUCUCUCUGCAGCACUGUGGUGUGGUAGGUAGAUUAUGUCUCUCUCUGCGACACUGGUGUGGUAGGUAGAUUAUGUUUCUCUCUGCGGCACUGUGGUGUGGUAGGUAGAGGUAGAUUAUGUCUCUCUCUGCGGCACUGUGGUGUGGUAGGUAGAUUAUGUUUCUCUCUGCGGCACUGUGGUGUGGUAGGUAGAGGUAGAUUAUGUCUCUCUCUGCAGCACUGUGGUGUGGUAGGUAGAUUAUGUUUCUCUCUGCAGCACUGUGGUGUGGUAGGUAGAUUAUGUUUCUCUCUGCGGCACUGUGGUGUGGUAGGUAGAGGUAGAUUAUGUCUCUCUGCGGCACUGUGGUGUGGUAGGUAGAUUAUGUCUCUCUCUGCAGCACUGUGGUGUGGUAGGUAGAUUAUGUUUCUCUCUGCAGCACUGUGGUGUGGUAGGUAGAGGUAGAUUAUGUCUCUCUGCGGCACUGUGGUGUGGUAGGUAGAUUAUGUCUCUCUGCGGCACUGUGGUGUGGUAGGUAGAGGUAGAUUAUGUCUCUCUGCGGCACUGUGGUGUGGUAGGUAGAGGUAGAUUAUGUCUCUCUGCGGCACUGUGGUGUGGUAGGUAGAGGUAGAUUAUGUCUCUCUCUGCAGCACUGUGGUGUGGUAGGUAGAUUAUGUUUCUCUCUGCAGCACUGUGGUGUGGUAGGUAGAGGUAGAUUAUGUCUCUCUGCGGCACUGUGGUGUGGUAGGUAGAUUAUGUCUCUCUGCGGCACUGUGGUGUGGUAGGUAGAGGUAGAUUAUGUCUCUCUGCGGCACUGUGGUGUGGUAGGUAGAGGUAGAUUAUGUCUCUCUGCAGCACUGUGGUGUGGUAGGUAGAUUAUGUCUCUCUCUGCAGCACUGUGGUGUGGUAGGUAGAUUAUGUUUCUCUCUGCAGCACUGUGGUGUGGUAGGUAGAGGUAGAUUAUGUCUCUCUGCGGCACUGUGGUGUGGUAGGUAGAUUAUGUCUCUCUGCGGCACUGUGGUGUGGUAGGUAGAGGUAGAUUAUGUCUCUCUCUGCGGCACUGUGGUGUGGUAGGUAGAUUAUGUUUCUCUCUGCGGCACUGUGGUGUGGUAGGUAGAAUUUUGCUCUCUGGUUUAAUUGGUCAAGUAAAAGUAGUGCUUACAGAAUAAGGUGGAUAUUUUGUUUUUAAAUAGCUGGUAUCUAUUCAUGUUUAUUAGACAUUUCAAUCUUAUUACAAGUUACAUUGUUUUUGUUUUAUAUAUUUGUUUUCUGCAAUAACAACAUCCGUUGUAGCUGCAUUUACUGCUGGUCCAGUUAGACUCCAUGUUAAUAUGUAGUAUUCUUCAGUUCUCUCUGGUAGCAACCAGCUAGCGACACAGAGGACAGCCUCCGGACAGGCCUUCUGUACUCUUCUAUAUGAUCAGUUUAGAUUCUAAUCUAUAACAAUAAUAUGUUUUCUGUAACGUUACCGUAAUCGUUCUAUAGCGUUAUUGAUAAUCCCUGGAUGCUACUGCGUUUUUUGUUCUGCAUGACUGAAAAUGGAAUUAACGCAACAAACCAGCCGGCGAGAUCGACCCAGAGUCGACCUUUUAUCAGAACCUUCUUUUUCUUUCUGUCCACUAGUUUUUUUUUAAAUGUUGUGUUUUUCAUGUCGUUGUUGUUUCUACUUCUCUGAUGAACAACUGUGGGUGUGUAGCGGAAUGCAUCUUAUGAGCACAAGAUGUUGAAAAUAAGUCUUUCAAACUAUUUUGCUCACUGGGUAGAUAGGCAGCUGCAGCUUGUGAAACGAACUUGUUUUACUAACUCCUGUACCAAGGCAGCAGACAUUCCUUCCUAUAGGGAACCUAGGACAGGUGUUGCAUUCAUAUCAGUAUUAGUAUAGCUACUAACUUAGUAACAGAAAGGUGGUGAUUUAGUGUUGCAACAUUCCGGAAACAUUCCCUGAAAAUUCCUUGAUUUUUUUCCGGAAAAUCCUGGUUGGAAAAUCCACAAAUCUUCCAAACAACCAGAAUUGAUAGAAAACCUGAGAAUUUUGGGGGAUGUAACCGUAAGGUGCAAAUCUAGUGGUGAAGGUGACAGAACAUGGUUAAAGCUUAAGGGUUGAUGAAGCACUGUCUAUACAGCUCUUAUAUGCCCUUACAUUCCAUCAUCCCAAGUCAAAUCUAUAGUUCCUGUAACUACACCAAGGCUACACGUCCUACAUGGAACCCUAUUCCCAAUGUAAAGCUUCACACUUUGUCUGGCCACAUUUAGUGCAUAACGAUUAGGGAUGUCAUUAGGGACGGAGCCUAAACCAUAUUCUCUCAGAGACCGGAUCCAGCUGAACCUAAACCAUAUUCUCUCUGAGACCGGAUCCAGCUGAACCUAAACCAUAUUCUCUCAGAGACUGGAUCCAGCUGAACCUAAACCAUAUUCUCUCAGAGACCGGAUCCAGCUGAACCUAAACCAUAUUCUCUCAGAGACCGGAUCCAGCUGAACCUAAACCAUAUUCUCUCAGAGACUGGAUCCAGCUGAACCUAAACCAUAUUCUCUCAGAGACCGGAUCCAGCUGAACCUAAACCAUAUUCUCUCAGAGACCGGAUCCAGCUGAAACUAAACCAUAUUCUCUCAGAGACCGGAUCCAGCUGAACCUAAACCAUAUUUUCUCAGAGACCGGAUCCAGCUGAAACUAAACCAUAUUCUCUCAGAGCUGAUCCAGCUGCUAGUCAGUUGAUGUUAUUAUUAUUGACUUUAAUCUGAGUUCAGAUUUAAACAAAAACUAAUGUAUAGUUCUUCAAAGAUGACUGGUUGAUUUUCACAUUGUACUUUCGGUAAAUGUUAUGAGAGAACUAAAACGUUGAUAAUGUCCUUUAAAAGAAUGAUCAAUUAUAAUGUGCAUGAACAGAAAGGGAAGAGGUGUAGUGUCCAGAGGUCAUUUCGUUAUAAAAACGCGUCACUAGGGUCGCACAUUUCCGGUGACCUGGGAAUUAUUAUUUUUUUGGAAAGCUACCAGAAUUUUUCAAAAACAUUUGGAGGCUCUCACUCAUUCUGCUAUGGCAACACAAUGCCCUACACGCUGUAGGAAAAUCACUUAAUAAAAAAACAACUUUUUAUAUAUAGUUAAUUAUGAGACCAUCAUUACGCUGUGCGUAACGAUUGUACAGAGAAAAUUGUAGGUAUUUUUUGAGGAUCAAUUUGUUUAAUGACAUGUAGCUAUUUAAUUUUCCCCCUUUUUUUUGUUUGUGUAUAAAAUAAAUGUUUUAAAAAGUU